rnacentral:lncRNA from 1 species
CAAUCUAGCGGGAUGCAAAUUCUUUUUUCAAUGUCUCUAACUUUUGCCUGGAUCGCCCUUUCGGGUUUUCAAUCCAUCGAGACGCUCCUUUUUGCCUAAGUCGCCCUUUGGGGUGUUCGACUUAGCGAGCUGUUCUUGCCUUUUAUUUUUUUUUUGUUUGUUUUAGGCGAAGUAUUUCUUGACUGCAUCUGGAAUUCACAGGACGAGUGAACUUCUCCAUCCAUUGUUGUAAGUGUCAAAACAUUGCCUGAAAAGGCUUUCUUGACCACAUAUGGACAUUCAUAGCUUGGAGUCCACUUGCCCCUGGAAUCGGGCACGAAAGACAAGACUUUCUUAAGCACAUGGUCAUUUUCUCAAAACUCGAGACUUGACCUUCUUGUCGAAUGCCUUCAUCGCUCUCUGCUGAUAUAACUGACCAUGACACCUGGCAGUUGAUCUCUUCUUUUUUUGGUCGAAUUCAUCAUCAGUCAACUUGGGACUUUGAGGGUGCUAUUUUUCUUUUGUUUCUUUCUUUCUUUUUCUUUCUUUUGAUUUUAAUUUCUUUUGAUCUUUUUUUUGAUUUUGCACCCUCCUCUUUCUUUUUUUCUUCUUCUUUUUUUGUUUUAUUGUUUGUUUUUUUGUUUUUGUUAUGCCCCAGUUGGCUGUUCUGCUGAUUCUCGAGAUGCAGCUGAGUGAUUUUCUUUUCUUGCUCAAGAGGUCGGGAAAUACCGUCAGGAAUUCCUUCAACAUCAUCUUCGUCCGCUUCGAAUACAGGGAAUUCAAAAUUGGGAGAUGACGUCGGAUCACUAUGUUCAAUGGGUUUAAGAAACAACCUGCAUAAUGAUUUGGAUAUGAAAAGCUUUUUUGAAAAUCAAACAAGA